rnacentral:rRNA from 1 species
UGGGGAAUUUUCCGCAAUGGGUGAAAGCCUGACGGAGCAAUGCCGCGUGGAGGUGGAAGGCCUACGGGUCGUCAACUUCUUUUCUCGGAGAAGAAACAAUGACGGUAUCUGAGGAAUAAGCAUCGGCUAACUCUGUGCUAG